UCCGCCCCGGCGGAUCCCAGCCGGUUCCCGGGCUCCGAGGGGUCGCGCGCCGCUCCCGGCGGGGCGGAGGGGGCGGGCUGGACCGCGGCCGCUGGCCCGGGCCGUACUCACGCCCCGGGCCGGGGGAGCGCACCCGCCAUGGAGGUGGAGGAGGCGUUCCAGGCGGUGGGGGAGAUGGGCGUCUACCAGAUGUACUUGUGCUUCCUUCUGGCGGUGCUGCUGCAGCUCUACGUGGCCACAGAGGCGAUCCUCAUUGCCCUGGUUGGGGCCACGCCAUCGUACCACUGGGACCUGGCCGAGCUCCUGCCAAAUCAGAGCCGCAGCAACCACUCAGCUGCUGAAGAGCGAGCCUUCGGGGACUGGCUGCUCACAGCCAAUGGCAGCGAGAUCCAUAAGCACGUGCAUUUCAGCAGCAGCUUCACCUCGAUCGCCUCUGAGUGGUUUUUAAUUGUCAACAAAUCUUACAAAGUCAGUGCAGCAAGCUCUUUUUUCUUCAGUGGUGUGUUUGUGGGAGUUAUCUCUUUUGGCCAACUUUCAGAUCGCUUUGGAAGGAAAAAAGUCUAUCUCACAGGUUUUGCUCUUGACAUCUUAUUUGCUAUUGCAAAUGGAUUUUCCCCCUCAUAUGAGUUUUUUGCAAUAACUCGCUUCCUGGUGGGCAUAAUGAAUGGAGGGAUGUCACUGGUGGCCUUUGUCUUGCUGAACGAGUGUGUUGGCACCGCCUACUGGGCACUGGCAGGAUCGAUCGGAGGCCUCUUCUUUGCAGUUGGCAUCGCCCAGUAUGCCCUGUUAGGAUACUUUAUCCGCUCCUGGAGGACGCUUGCUAUUAUGGUUAACCUGCAGGGAACAGCGGUCUUUUUCUUAUCUUUAUUCAUUCCUGAAUCACCUCGUUGGUUAUACUCCCAGGGUCGACUGAGUGAGGCCGAAGAGGCCCUGUACCUCAUUGCCAGGAGGAACCGCAAGCUCAAGUGUACGUUCUCACUAACAUAUCCAGCCAACAGAAGCUACAAGGAGACUGGAAGUUUCCUGGACCUGUUCCGCUACCGGAUCCUCUUAGGACACACCCUGAUCCUGAUGUUCAUCUGGUUUGUGUGCAGUUUGGUGUAUUAUGGCCUAACUCUGAGUGCAGGUGAUCUAGGUGGAAAUAUUUAUGUCAACCUGGCCCUAUCUGGCCUCAUCGAGAUUCCUUCUUACCCUAUCUGCAUCUACUUGAUGAACCAAAAAUGGUUUGGUCGGAAGCGGACUUUAGCAGCAUUUCUGUGCCUAGGAGGACUGGCCUGUCUUAUCGUAAUGUUUCUUCCAGAAAAGAAAGGCACAGGUGUGUUUGCAGUGGUGAACAGCCGUUCCUUGUCCUUGCUGGGGAAGCUGACGAUCAGUGCUGCCUUUAACAUUGUUUAUAUCUACACCUCCGAGCUUUACCCUACCGUCAUCAGGAAUGUUGGGCUUGGAACUUGUUCCAUGUUCUCCCGAGUUGGUGGGAUUAUUGCUCCCUUCAUCCCCUCACUGGUUGAAAUACGUGCAGUGGUCUUUACCUUUCAUUGUCUUUGGAACCACUGGCCUGACCUCCGGCCUCCUGAGCUUAUUAUUGCCAGAAACCCUUAACAGUCCAUUGUUAGAGACCUUCUCUGACCUUCAGAUGUACUCCUAUCGGAGGCUGGGGGACGAAGCAUUAUCUUUACAGACCUUGGAUAUCCCACAGUCUGCAGACAAGGAGAGCACUUUAGGGAGCGAGAGUGAGGAAGAGGAAGAGUUUUAUGAUGCAGAUGAAGAGACUCAAAUGAUCAAGUGAAGACCCCCAGAUUUCAGAUUUCGUCUCAGAAUCAGAGGAUCAUCUUUUUUGCCUCUGCCUAAGGCAGAUUCUCCUACAAAACUUACGAGCUGUAGAAAGACAGGCUCAAAAAUACAUAGAUGGUACUCAGCAUGGAAUGAUUUUUUAAGGCACAAAGAAAGUUGGAGAAGAGAUUUCAUGAGAUGACAAUCACUGCAUUGAGGGAUCUGUUGUUAAUGUUUCCAAAAUUCAGGUUUAGCUGAGAAUCCUGGCCUCUGGCCAAACAGCUCAAAUCCAUGUUCCAGAGUGGUAGGCAGAUUUGUCUAUAAAAAUUUGGUCUUCUUGUUUUCCUUUCAUCAUGACCUAAAAGCUGAUACUUUAAAUUUCUCACUAUUUUAAUAGGAUAAGUCAUUCUAAUGAUUGAAUCUUGAUACCAUAUUUGACAUCUACCCCCACCAGUCAUUCCUAACCAGGAAUCUUUGGAGGCAGGUUGUUGUCAGGAUUUCAAUUCUGUGUUGGAGGAACAGAACUAAGAGGUCUUUUGCGUGGCCCUCCAGCUUUACCUUCACUGAAGACAUUUGUAUUCUCAGCUUGGUUCCCAGCCUGUUAGCUGUCAGAGCUGUUUGUGUCUUUAGUUCCAUAGAUGAUUGACUAGUAGAAGCCCAACUUUACCAAAGCAAUUUUCUGUAGAGUCAGAGGUGUAGCUCCCUUUGAUAUUCAAAUUGUUUAAUCUUUUUAGUUUCCACUUGUAUGUACCUCCAGAAAAAUGUCCAUCUGAGAUUGUUACCAGCAAUAACCUCAAAAUCAUGCAUGGUAAAUGUUAAGCUUUAUAAAGGUGGAGGGCAGUUAAAAAGUGACAUGUUGAACGUUUGAAUGUUUAAAAAAAAGGGCAAUUUUUGAUGAGGAAGAAAGGAAAAUUAUCUUUCAUGAAUUUUUGGUUUGUUUAGCUUUCAGUUUUGUGCAAUAAGGGACUUGGAUAACAUUUAAGAACUUGAACUCUUCUUGUCUUAGAUCAGCCCCUGCCUAUUUAGUUAGAAUGGAAGGCACAGUAAUUUCAUAGGAAACAUAGAUUUUUUUCAUAAAGUACUACCAACUUUCAAGUAUAUUAGUAUCAUUCUUAGUUUCCUAAAGUCACAUGUUGAAAAUAUGUGUCCCUGUGAUACUUGAAUAUUGUCUCAAAUAGGAGUAUUAACCUGGACUAGUCAGCUUGGGCAGCAUGGCUUUAGGUCAUCACUUCCCCAACUAGGAUGAUUUCUGUGUUUUCAGAAUUGCAUUUCUACUCACAUCUUGGAGAAAAAGAAAAUGCCUUAGGGGUAAAGAGAAGACGUCACUGUGGCUGCUACUGAAAAUCUUAGAGGCAUCACCUCCAAAUACUCUCCUGUUCUCUUCCACAGUGACUUCUUGGUUUGCACUGUAUCAGUCUGUACCUUUGUGUUUGUUAAAGUAUUUUUGUGUCCUUUAUGACAGUCUUCAUGCCCUUUAUUAAUUAUUGGACUUUUCAUAGACUGAGGCCAUGUGUACUGUGGUUUCUUUCUCUCUGCUGUGCCCAUAAUACAGCCCUAGACAUAGUGAGCAUCUCUUGAAUAUGGCUGUUUCCAACCUUCAGGGAAGUUGUGGAUCCCUGCCCAGAAGCAUUCUUGCAAAUCCUGGGCAAUUCCAACCCAAACCCCCAAGCUGUGGAAUCCUGCUUGGCUUUCCCUGGAUAUUGGAGAGCCUGCCCACCAUCAGGAGAGGAAGAGAGGAAGAAUUUACAAGGACGCGCAAAAGCUUUUCCUCAGCGAUUGGACAUUAAAAGUAAAACAGUAAACUAACAUAUAUAUAAUGUUUUAGUGGAAGCCCUUCAUACUGUAAGAGUAAAUACAUCUCAUUAUAGAAAAUUUGGAAGAUAGAAGGAAAAAAUGUUAUCACCCUUAGGCCCAACACCCAACAAACACCAGUGUUAAUGGGUUUGUUCCAAUUGAUGACCAAUUAGGGGUGUUUCUCUCUGUUGGCACCAGGGUUCCCUCUGCUUCUGGCUGUAUAAAUGAAGAUCUAAUCA